GGUUUCAUAGUCGAGUGGUAAUGACGUUUGUCUCUCAUUCUGGAAUCCUGGGUUCUAUCCCAGGUCGAGGACCU